rnacentral:ncRNA from 1 species
AACGUAUGAGGGCAAAACUAGUGAAAAGUAGUGACGCAAAACUAUAGGGGCUAAUGUUUUUGACUAUGCCAGCCAGUUACCAGA